AGCGAACGCUGGCGGCAGGCCUAACACAUGCAAGUCGAACGGACCCUUCGGGGUUAGUGGCGGACGGGUGAGUAACACGUGGGAACGUGCCUUUAGGUUCGGAAUAGCUCCUGGAAACGGGUGGUAAUGCCGAAUGUGCCCUUCGGGGGAAAGAUUUAUCGCCUUUAGAGCGGCCCGCGUCUGAUUAGCUAGUUGGUGAGGUAAUGGCUCACCAAGGCGACGAUCAGUAGCUGGUCUGAGAGGAUGACCAGCCACACUGGGACUGAGACACGACCCAGACUCCUACGGGAGGCAGCAGUGGGGAAUCUUGCGCAAUGGGCGAAAGCCUGACGCAGCCAUGCCGCGUGAAUGAUGAAGGUCUUAGGAUUGUAAAAUUCUUUCACCGGGGACGAUAAUGACGGUACCCGGAGAAGAAGCCCCGGCUAACUUCGUGCCAGCAGCCGCCGUAACAC
rnacentral:rRNA from 1 species